rfam:Picea glauca, whole genome shotgun sequence.
CCAUAUGUACAUGCCUCCAACAUAACGUUAAUGCAUUAGAUCCCAUUAAAACUCCAUAGUUAAGCACACUUGGGCUAGAUUAGUACUGGGAUGGGUGACUUCCUAGGAAGUCCUAGUAUUUUACAUGCC